UGUUUUUCCAUCUCUCACUUUUUCUGCACCAUUUCUUCACAUAUGUUGAAGCAUACAAUCCCAAAAGCACUAAUUCAUAGUUUCAUAUGGAUGUUUCACAUGGAAGACUGGAAGUUUUAAUUUUCAUUUAGACCAAACACAACAAUUUAACAUUCAGUUUGAGUGGGAAGGAUAGACCUAGCCAGUGAUUCUCAACCUGUGGCUCCCCAGGUGUUUUGGCCUACAACUCCCAGAAAUCCCAGCCAGUUUACCAGAUGUUAGGAUUUCGGGAAGUUUGAGGCCAAAACAUCUGGGGGCCCACAGGCUGAGAACCACUGGCCUACACUCUCUUUUAAAAGCUAAAUGGCUCUUCUGCCCAAUCUUUGCUUGAACAGCAAAAAGUACACUCACCUCACCGUAUGAAUCCUGCACAAAUAUUGAAAAUAAGGUUUGUUUCACCAAUAACUAACAAUAUACUCCAGAUUAUAAUGGCAAAGUAAGAGAUUUUGUAUUAUAAACAUCACUUUCUACAUUCUAAUUUUGGGGAUGGGGUCUUACUAAUGGUAAUGGAUGAAAAAUAUGUGGAUCGAGUUCUGUUUCAUAUGUUGUGUUGAGCUCUAUUACUAGGAUACAGAAGUGGCUGGCACAUUUUCAGGAUGCCUUUUAUCUCCCUGCCAAAGCAGUACCUAUUUAUCUACUCACAUUGUUGUUUUCAAACUGCUAGGUAAGCAGAAGCUGGGGCUGACAGCGGAAGUUCACCUCAACCCACAGCUUGAACUGCCAACCUUCCGGCCAGCAAGAUCUUCUGUAGCUGGCCAGUUCUUUUCCGCUGUGAAGAAGAAUGGAAAAAUAAUAUAUGAAGACCAGGAGACAAUGUGAGAAGACAUAAGAAGAUACAACCAAUGCACUUAAAAUUAACAUUGUUAGAAUCCUCAAUACUUUAUGAAAUAUGUGUUAAAGGAGUAGAGACAAAGUCUUAGUUGUAACAAUGAUAAUUUUGUAAAAGAACUCAUAUCUCAGUGACCCUACCUUCUUUGUUUUCUCCUUGCGACAUAUUAGACAUUUGUAAAGAUGCAACUAAUAAUAAUGUUAUCCUCAAUUUUUUCCUUCCCUUGUCCCCCACCCCUAACUCUCCAAGUAAAUGUUUAAUAAAAACUAUUAAAAAUAUUCUAGGCAAAAUAUAUUUGAAUGUGCUCUCCAAAAUUGAAAAAUUGAGAUUUGUGUGUCUCUUCAUGUAAAAACAAGAAGUCUUGCAGCGCCUUAAACUUUAAAAAAUGACAAAAGCUUUCAUUGCUCCUAUUCAAACCACAAGAUAAAGAGCUAAAUCUUUGGAUGAAUUCUAGUCCAGCUGUUCUAUGCGGGACUCUGUCUUUGAAGUGUUUUUAUGUAAGAAGGACCCUCUUUAAGUCAAGAGAAAGAAAGUAACAGGAUUCCUGCAGUUUAUUUAGAAAUUCCAAAGGUUAUGAUCUUUCAAAGAGUCCUGCCAUUCCAGCUGUACUGUUUAUGCAAGAAACUGGGAAACUGCACAUAAAAAUUGGUGGUUGUUUGCCAUCAAGUCAAUUUUGACUUUUGGUGACCUCAUAAAUGAGAGAUCACCAAUAGAUCUGCUUUGGUCUUGCAGACUCGGGGUUGUGGUUUCCUUCUUUGUGCCUCUCCAGCUGUAAUUUAGUCUCCUUUUUUCCUACUGCCUUCCACUUUGGCUGAGCGAAGGAAGACGCUUUUGAACUUUGGUGCUGGAGAAAAAUCUUGAGAGUGCCUUGGACCGCAAGAAGAUCCAACCAGUCCAUCCUCCAGAAAAUAAUGCCCAGCUGCUCACUGGAGGGAAGGAUAUUAUAGGCAAAGAUGAAGUACUCUGGCCACAUCAUGAGAGACAGGAAAGCUUGGAGAAGAUCAUGAUGCUGGGGAAAAUGGUAGGAAAAAGGAAGAGAGGUUGACCAAGGGCAAGAUGGAUGGAUGGUAUCCUUGAAGUGACUGGCCUGACCUUGAAGAAACUGGGGGCAGCGAUGGCUGACAGGAAGCUCUGGCGUGGACUGGUCCAUGAGGUCACAAAGACUUGGAAGCGACUGAACGAAUAACCAACAGGAAAUCAUGUUGUCUCAUAUGUCCAAAGUACAACAGUCCCCAUUAAGUUAUCUUGGCUUCUAAGGAGAGUU
rnacentral:lncRNA from 1 species